rnacentral:rRNA from 1 species
GAUGAACGCUGGCGGCGUGCCUAAUACAUGCAAGUCGAGCGAACGGACGAGAAGCUUGCUUCUCUGAUGUUAGCGGCGGACGGGUGAGUAACACGUGGAUAACCUACCUAUAAGACUGGGAUAACUUCGGGAAACCGGAGCUAAUACCGGAUAAUAUUUUGAACCGCAUGGUUCAAAAGUGAAAGACGGUCUUGCUGUCACUUAUAGAUGGAUCCGCGCUGCAUUAGCUAGUUGGUAAGGUAACGGCUUACCAAGGCAACGAUGCAUAGCCGACCUGAGAGGGUGAUCGGCCACACUGGAACUGAGACACGGUCCAGACUCCUACGGGAGGCAGCAGUAGGGAAUCUUCCGCAAUGGGCGAAAGCCUGACGGAGCAACGCCGCGUGAGUGAUGAAGGUCUUCGGAUCGUAAAACUCUGUUAUUAGGGAAGAACAUAUGUGUAAGUAACUGUGCACAUCUUGACGGUACCUAAUCAGAAAGCCACGGCUAACUACGUGCCAGCAGCCGCGGUAAUACGUAGGUGGCAAGCGUUAUCCCGGAUUAUUGGGCGUAAAGCGCGCGUAGGCGGUUUUUUAAGUCUGAUGUGAAAGCCCACGGCUCAACCGUGGAGGGUCAUUGGAAACUGGAAAACUUGAGUGCAGAAGAGGAAAGUGGAAUUCCAUGUGUAGCGGUGAAAUGCGCAGAGAUAUGGAGGAACACCAGUGGCGAAGGCGACUUUCUGGUCUGUAACUGACGCUGAUGUGCGAAAGCGUGGGGAUCAAACAGGAUUAGAUACCCUGGUAGUCCACGCCGUAAACGAUGAGUGCUAAGUGUUAGGGGGUUUCCGCCCCUUAGUGCUGCAGCUAACGCAUUAAGCACUCCGCCUGGGGAGUACGACCGCAAGGUUGAAACUCAAAGGAAUUGACGGGGACCCGCACAAGCGGUGGAGCAUGUGGUUUAAUUCGAAGCAACGCGAAGAACCUUACCAAAUCUUGACAUCCUUUGACAACUCUAGAGAUAGAGCCUUCCCCUUCGGGGGACAAAGUGACAGGUGGUGCAUGGUUGUCGUCAGCUCGUGUCGUGAGAUGUUGGGUUAAGUCCCGCAACGAGCGCAACCCUUAAGCUUAGUUGCCAUCAUUAAGUUGGGCACUCUAAGUUGACUGCCGGUGACAAACCGGAGGAAGGUGGGGAUGACGUCAAAUCAUCAUGCCCCUUAUGAUUUGGGCUACACACGUGCUACAAUGGACAAUACAAAGGGCAGCGAAACCGCGAGGUCAAGCAAAUCCCAUAAAGUUGUUCUCAGUUCGGAUUGUAGUCUGCAACUCGACUACAUGAAGCUGGAAUCGCUAGUAAUCGUAGAUCAGCAUGCUACGGUGAAUACGUUCCCGGGUCU